rnacentral:rRNA from 1 species
AAUCGGUAUCGACUAGCCAUGCGAGUCAAUGUUCUUCGUGAGCAUGGCGUACUGCGUCAGUAACACGUGGAUAACCUGCCCUUAGGACUGGCAUAACCCCGGGAAACUGGGGAUAAUUCCGGAUAGUUCAUGGUAGCUGGAAUGCUCCAUGAUCGAAAGCUAUUGCGCCUAAGGAUGGGUCUGCGGUCUAUCAGGUAGUAGUGGGUGUAAUGUACCUACUAGCCGACGACGGAUACGGGUUGUGGGAGCAAGAGCCCGGAGAUGGAUUCUGAGACAUGAAUCCAGGCCCUACGGGGCGCAGCAGGCGCGAAAACUUUACAAUGCGGGAAACCGCGAUAAGGGGACACCGAGUGCCAGCAUCUUAUGUUGGCUGUCCGCAUGUAUAAAUCACAUGUGUUAGCAAGGGCCGGGCAAGACCGGUGCCAGCCGCCGCGGUAACACCGGCGGCCCGAGUGGUGGCCACUAUUAUUGGGUCUAAAGGGUCCGUAGCCGGUUUGGUCAGUCUUCCGGGAAAUCUGACGGCUUAACCGUUAGGCUUUCGGGGGAUACUACCAGGCUUGGGACCGGGAGAGGUAAGAGGUACUACGGGGGUAGGAGUGAAAUCUUGUAAUCCUCGUGGGACCACCAGUGGCGAAGGCGUCUUACCAGAACGGGUCCGACGGUGAGGGACGAAAGCUGGGGGCACGAACCGGAUUAGAUACCCGGGUAGUCCCAGCCGUAAACUAUGCUCGCUAGGUGUCAGGGACGGUGCGACCGUUUCUGGUGCCGCAGGGAAGCCGUGAAGCGAGCCACCUGGGAAG